GGACUACUGGGGUAUCUAAUCCUGUUUGCUCCCCACGCUUUCGCACCUCAGCGUCAAUUCACGUCCAGUAAGCCGCCUUCGCCACUGGUGUUCUUCCGAAUAUCUACGAAUUUCACCUCUACACUCGGAAUUCCACUUACCUCUCCGUGAUUCUAGCUAUCUAGUUUCAAAGGCAAUUCCGGGGUUGAGCCCCGGGCUUUCACCUCUGACUUGAAUAGCCGCCUACGUGCGCUUUACGCCCAGUAAUUCCGAACAACGCUAGCCCCCUCCGUAUUACCGCGGCGGCUGGCAC
rnacentral:rRNA from 1 species